UGAAAAUACCUGCAACAUACAUCAAAGUUGCUGGUGAACGCAGCAGGCCAAGCAGCAUCUAUAGGAAGAGGCGCAGUCGACGUUUCAGGCCGAGACCCUUCGUCAGGACUAACUGAAGGAAGAUUAGACCAGAAGGGAUGUCACAUCAUUGUUGAAUGCUCCUUUUGUAUGAGGGAAGGCAGGGAGCCCUUGCAAGCGGAACAAAUGCUACACUUGUCCCUACACCUACUCCGUCACUACCACUCAGGGCCCCAAACAGUCCUUCCAGAAGUGGUUUGCCACUGCCUUCUCCUGGACAAAAGACUUUACAAGACGGGUGACCCCAGCCAUUAUCAAUAGACUUCAGAGAUUGCCUGACUGCAUAAUCAGGACUUGUGGAUGCUGCCUGAUUUUCUGAGUCCCUUGAGCUUUUUGCUCCAUCUGCAGUUUCCUGCGUCUCCAAACCUAAUGAAAGAUUUGUCAGAUCUCAGCCCCUUUCUGCUUGUUCUUCCAGUCAGAUUCACAAGGGAAAGUA